rnacentral:rRNA from 1 species
CCAGCAACUUGGAGGAAUGUAUAGCGAAAGCUAAUUGUAUUAGCGGGUAAUGUUUAAUACAAUAUCGACUCUGUCGAGUAAAAUUCUAGGUAGAGUAAUGAUAAUGACAUUUUUUACCUAUGUGUCUUGACCAAGUCACGUGCCAGCAGUCGCGGUAACACGUGGAAGACUAGUGUUAUUCAUCUUUAAUAGGUUUAAAGGGUACCCAGACGGUAUAUUUAGCCCGGAAAAGGUACUAAAUAAACUAGAGUUUAAUGUGAGGGGGUUCAAUAGUACUAACGGUGUAGAGAUGAAAUUCUAUCAUACCAAUAGGAGACUGGUAGCGGCGAAAGCAACCUUUUAUGUAAAAACUGACGUUGAAGGACGAAGGCUAGUGUAACCAAAAGGAUUAGGUACCCCAGCAGUGCUGGCAGAAAACGCUGAAUGCCAUAGAUUAGAUUAUAUUUCUUCUAUAAAUGAAAGUGUAAGCAUUCCACCUCAAGAGUAAUUUGGCAACAUUGGAAUUGAAAUCAUUAGACCGUUUCUGAAACCAGUAGUGAAGUAUGUUGUAUAACUAGAUGAUCCGCAAAAAACCUUACCACAAUUUGAAUAUUUUUAUAAUUAUACAAGCGCUGCACGGUUGUCUUAAGUUAAUGUCGUGAGAUUCUGGUUAAUUCCAUUAAAUUAACGUAAACCCUUACUUUAUUUUUAUAUAAAGUAGUUCGCCACUAUAUUGGAUAUGAUAAGAGGGACUAAGACAAGUC